rnacentral:rRNA from 1 species
UACGUAGGUGGCGAGCGUUGUCCGGAUUUACUGGGCGUAAAGAGCGCGCAGGCGGCUGGUCAAGUCCGAUGUGAAAGCUCCCGGCUUAACUGGGAAAUUGCAUCGGAAACUGAUCGGCUGGAAGGUGGGAGAGGGUAGCGGAAUUCCCGGUGUAGUGGUGGAAUGCGUAGAUAUCGGGAGGAACACCAGUGGCGAAGGCGGUUGCCUGGAGCUUUGCUGACGCUGAUGCGCGAAAGCGUGGGGAGCGAUCCGG